GAUGAACGCUGACAGAAUGCUUAACACAUGCAAGUCUACUUGAACUUCGGUUUGGGUGGCGGACGGGUGAGUAACGCGUAAAGAACUUGCCUCACAGAUAGGGACAACAUUUGGAAACGAAUGCUAAUACCUGAUAUUAUGAUUUUAGGGCAUCCUAGAAUUAUGAAAGCUAUAUGCACUGUGAGAGAGCUUUGCGUCCCAUUAGCUAGUUGGAGAGGUAACGGCUCACCAAGGCGAUGAUGGGUAGCCGGCCUGAGAGGGUAAUCGGCCACAAGGGGACUGAGACACGGCCCUUACUCCUACGGGAGGCAGCAGUGGGGAAUAUUGGACAAUGGACCAAGAGUCUGAUCCAGCAAUUCUGUGUGCACGAUGAAGUUUUUCGGAAUGUAAAGUGCUUUCAGUUGGGAAGAAAAAAAUGACGGUACCAACAGAAGA
rnacentral:rRNA from 1 species